UCGUACGGAGAAGUAAUUCUCAGUGGCGAACGGGUGAGUAACACGUAAGAAUCUGCCUUUAGAUAGAGGAUAACAAUUAGAAAUAAUUGCUAAUACUCUAUAUGCCGUUUGGUGAAAAAAGAAAUUUGUCUAAAGAGGAGCUUGCGUCUGAUUAGCUAGUUGGUAGGGUAAAGGCCUACCAAGGCGACGAUCAGUAGUUGGUCUGAGAGGACGAUCAACCACACUGGAACUGAGACACGGUCCAGACUCC
rnacentral:rRNA from 1 species